AUCUUGAUGUUGAUUUUGGGUUUUUGUCGAACACAAUUAUGAUAUGUGUUCUUUAUGUCAACUGACAUUCACUCAAUACCUCAAGAACAUUUAACACCAUCUUGCAAGUACCAUUUUUUUAUCGUAUCAACAGAUGAAGAUACAAAAAAGGGAAUAAAAAAGGAGUCGUUUGCAUCAGAUUAUGAACAACUUCAUAAGUCUUGAAGCGCUUCAACCCAUUGGAGACAGGUCGUCAAUAUGUAAAAGUUGAGAGAAGAAGUGUGAGAAAAACAUUUGAAGCUCUGGAGCAUUUGAGGUUAUUAGAAGCAAGAAUCGCACAUGAUGAGAGUCGAAGUAUGUGUAAAAUGGAUAUGAAAGUGGAUGUUGCUCAAAAAUGGAUGUUAGAAAAUCAAUUCCAUAUCCUUUACUUGCAUUAACCAAUACAUUUGCUUUCCAAGAUCGAAUAUAGUUAAGUCGGAUGCAUAUGUUGUCAAAAAGGAUCUCAGGUUUGCCUUAUUUAUUUAUUUUUAUUUUCCUUAUAGGUAAAUUGACAUUUGCGUUAUUAAAAUGAUGUAUGUGUGAAGUAAAUAUGAACAAAGAGCGUUUCUUUUUUGCAGCCAUCUAAGGUUUGGUAAAUGACCCUUUUACACUUCUUUUUUAGGGCGUUUUAUUUUCAUUUUUUUGUAAAAUCUUUUAACUUUUACAUUAUAGGAGUAUUGAUUAUGGACUGUACAUCUAUACGAAUUAUUCUAACUUCUUGAUAGCUCAAUAUG